AUUGAACGCUGGCGGCGUGGCUAAAACAUGCAAGUCGAACGUGUGUAGCAAUACACAAGUGGCGAAAGGGUCAGUAAUGCGAUCGAAUGUACCCUGAGGUGGGGGAUAGCUACGGGAAACUGUAGGUAAUACCCCAUGAUCUCUCCGGAGCAAAGGUUUACCCGCCUUGGGAGCAGCGAUCGUCCUAUCAGGUAGUUGGCGGGGUAACGGCCCACCAAGCCGAAGACGGGUAGCGGGUGUGAGAGCACGGCCCGCGACAUCGGAACUGAGACACUGUCCGGACUUCUACGGAAGGCUGCAGUAACGAAUCUUCCGCAAUGGGCGAAAGCCUGACGGAGCAAUGCCGCGUGUGGGGAUGAAGCGUCUCUGACGUGUAAACCACUGUCAGGGGUUGGAAACAAUGAUCGACCCCAAAGGAAGUGGCGACUAAACUCUGUGCCAGCAGCCGCGGUAA
rnacentral:rRNA from 1 species